ACAACUUAAAUGAUAUAAGGAUGGAGGAUCAACAAUUAAACAGCUCAUGGUAUGAGCACAAAAGCUCAUGAAAAUUAUAAUCAAUAAUGGACCGAGAAAAGAUUUCCAGCUGAUAAUCAAUAUGGUAAACUAUUGAUUAUUUUACAGUUAGUCACAAAAGCUGGUUCUGUGACAGACUGUGUGUCAGGUUUAGUUAAUUGUCAUCUAAAAUAAAAUGACUAAACAAUGUUGAUAUGUUACAAUUUCAAGAUUGUUUUAAUUGAUUAACGAUAGCCUAAUCAUUAUAAACAAUCUUACCUUCUGAAUGGAUCUUCUUGUUCUGGACUUCCUGGGAUUCCCAUUUCUUUCAUUUUGAAACGAUUCCCUACAGAAGAUGAUAGGAGAGGGAUAAGGACAAGAAGAAGAUAAAAGACAGGAGAAGAGUUAGACUGAUGAUUAAAGAUGAAAAACCACGAAUUAUACGAUGAAUUGUUGAAUCAACAUUUAAACAUCCUGUUUUUGGUUUAUUUUAAGCAAGGACAGUAAACCUCUAGAUGCUUAUUUGGUCAAAAUUAUAAACCUUUGAUCAUCUCUUCUGGACAGGAAAAUGGACAAAUGUAUGAUUAUGGACAAAGUAAAGAAAACCUUUCACUUGGGACACACGAAAAGUACAACAUGUCAAUGAAUGAAAAGAGGCUGACGAAGCUCUUUACAUUUGGCAUGGUUCAGCCACAAAGCCAGCCAAGUAAACUUACAAUUGGAUUGAAUGAAAAAUAUAUUAAGGUAAAAGAAGGAAACCAUCAAAAGAAGCUGAAAUUCAUGAUAAAGGCGAUGAUGAUGGUUGAUGAUCGUUUCUAUUAUAAAUAAUUUACUCAUCACAAUAACUUUCAAUUUUUGGAACCAAGUUAACCAAGGAAACAAAUCAAGCAAAAACGAGAAGAAAAGAGAAUCAAAUUACUAAUAUGGAUCCAUGGUUGAUAAAAAUUAGAUGCUAUUAACUUUUAUUUAGUGGUUAUAUUUUGACGAAAUUUGGCUCCUAAAAUUAACUUCAAUAAACCGAGAUUACAGUUUAAUCAAGACAAUAAAGUUCAUUGAAAAUUCAAGCGCAAAGACUUCAAAUUGGACCAUUUUCCUGGAGAAACAUUUUACAGCAAAAAAAUCAAUUCAUUAAUACAUACAACACUAGCAUCACAGGAGAUGCAAAAAUUUUGAAGUAUUAAAUGCAUCAGUAAGAUCAGGAAACAACAUAGGAAAAGGCAAAGAUGGAGUUAAUAAAAUAUUUUUGCCUUCUCAGUGUAAAUCAGCUGAAUGGUGAAUAUCGGAAAGCCUGGAACUGACUGAGAGGAAAAGAGUUGAACGAUAAAAAAAACAAAAACAACCAAAAGCAGUUUGAAGUGAAUAACUUUUAUCAUUAAAAGUAAUUUUCUUGCU